rnacentral:rRNA from 1 species
AAUAUUGGACAAUGGGCGAAAGCCUGAUCCAGCCAUGCCGCGUGUGUGAAGAAGGUCUUCGGAUUGUAAAGCACUUUAAGUUGGGAGGAAGGGGUUGAAGCUAAUACCUUCAAUCUUUGACGUUACCAACAGAAUAAGCACCGGCUAACUCUGUGCCAGCAGCCGCGGUAAUACAGAGGGUGCAAGCGUUAAUCGGAAUUACUGGGCGUAAAGCGCGCGUAGGUGGUUCAGUAAGAUGGAAGUGAAAUCCCCGGGCUUAACCUGGGAACUGCUUUCAUAACUGCUGAGCUAGAGUAUGGCAGAGGGUGGUGGAAUUUCCUGUGUAGCGGUGAAAUGCGUAGAUAUAGGAAGGAACACCAGUGGCGAAGGCGACCACCUGGGAUAAUACUGACGCUCAGACACGAAAGCGUGGGGAGCAAACAGG